UGUUUAUUUAUUAAAAGACUUGUCCAGCGCUAGAAGAACCAGAGAGCUGCUUCACAGAAGAAAGAAGAAGAAGAAGAAGCAGAAGGAGGAAAUGAGACUUGUCCAGCGCUAGAAGAACCAGAGAGCUGCUUCACAGAAGAAAGAAGAAGAAGAAGAAGCAGAAGGAGGAAAUGAGAGAGCUUUUUAGUGAAGCCGUGAGCUGCUGAAUGAUUUCUGAGUUUUUAAUUUAAUCUCUGAUCCAGAAUCCUAAAUUGUGGUGGUCUCCUUUACCUACCGUGUAGUGAUUAGAAGACUAUCAUGAUUCAGUGAUCCCGUGUGUGAAGCUGCUCCGUUUUGUACUCUGUAUAGCAAUAAAAAUACACAACCAUUUUAUCAUGAGAUCUGCUGGAC
ensembl:lncRNA